AUUGGGAUUUGUUUUGUGUUGCCUACUUUUUUUAUUGAGAAAUCUAAAUAAACACGAGUGGUUAAACGUGUUGUCAUAGAAAAUUCAAGUGAGAUCACGGAAAAGAAAAUAUUUUCACUGUGAAAAUGUCACACUAGACGCACGCAUCCAUGCAUAAAAGAGCAGUCAUGCGCACGCGCGUAAAACACACACACACACAUUUACACACACACACAAACGCACGCGCACUCUUCUCUGGGCAUUUCAUACCUCCCUGUUUUAAUUUGUGUUCACUCUCUAGUGUCACGCACCUAGGGAAGGCUCCGGUGCGUCCCAAAUGGCAGACCUCCCCCUAUCUAGUGCACUUCUUUUUUAACCGGGACUGUGAGGAAUGGGUGUCAUUUGUUACACAGCACACACGUUGGCUCUUGGGUAGAGAGGUAGCGAGAGAAAAGGGGGAAGAGAGGGAGGAAGGGAGAGAGGAAAAACACAAUUUGCAUUUUAUACAGCUCCAACUAUAUAAAGCCACUUCCUAGAUGAGGCCAAAGAUACAGUCUGACUAUAAAAAUAAUAAUAAAAUUGCUAUUCUAUAUUGCAUGCAACAAAAAUAGAAUUUAUAGUACUGUACUACCCAUGCACACAGCACAACCCUGGGUCUACUUAAGUCCUUGCUACCUCCCAACACAAACACAAUGUGCUUGAAGACAAAUUACCCAGAAUGCCCUCCGGCCUACCUCCCUGUUCGUUACUGUACAUUGGAACUUUGACGUUUUGUGUGUGUAGAUGGACGUGCACACGCUUGCGUGCACUUUCUCUGUCUCUCUCUCACACACUCUCACACUCACUCUCACACACUCACUCUUCCUACAAGCCAAUGCGUUUUGUGUGUCCUAUGAUCAAAAUGCUGUAGGGGCUCUUGAAGCGGGCCGUGCAUGCAAGAAAGCCCACCCGACAUGACACAGAUGACGAGUGGGCAAAACGUCGUCCCAGGCAUCGUAAGAGACCGAUAGACAGUUACAAUGUAAGAGACCGAUAGACAGUUACAAUGCAAGAGACCGAUAGACAGUUACAAUGCAAGAGACCGAUAGACAGUUACAAUGCAAGAGACCGAUAGACAGUUACAAUGCAAGAGACCGAUAGACAGUUACAAUGUAAGAGACCGAUAGACAGUUACAAUUCCACAGAUUAACCCCGGAUUCAUCUCAAUAAUGAGUUUCUGGGGAUCAGGAAACAGGACCUGCUAUGUAACAUCAGCCACGCGGUGUAAUUAAGUUCUCUUUUCUUUUUAAUGCUCUCUUAUUGAAAUCCCGGCAAACAAAGUGUUGAAUUGUGCCGGGCAUUAUUUCCUCAUGAAACACAAAGCCAUUUGAACAGGGGUCUGUGUUCUAACCUGGGGGCUGUCCAGCUGGAAAGCAGCGGAGUGUGUUAGAGUGUGUAAGAGUGUGUAAGAGUGUGUUAGAGUGUGUAAGAGUGUGUAAGAGUGUGUGAGCUGCACUGUACGGGGAUUUGGAAGAGAGGUCACAGAGCUGUGGGUUGGGUCUGUCUGUCUCACACACAUGCUGUGAUGUCCAAGAACUGUCACGCCCUUCACUUUCUGGCAUAUCUGAAUGUGCCCGCGGAGCAUCCUGGAGUCGGAAGGCAAAUAACAACAUACAAAAGCUAUUUUUGCUCUGCCUUGAUUUCAAGUGAAAUGUUCCAUUAAAUUAGUGCUCCCAUCAACGGGUUAGUCACGACUAUUUCAGGCUUUGAAACUUUGGAGCUCUGCAUAAUUAAAUUAGCCCGAGUCGCAAACUUUAGCCGAGGCAUGCGGACAGGUGGGUGGAGGUGAAGAGAGAAACUGGGAGAAAGAGAGAGAGAAACCGGGAUAGAGAGACAGACGCAGAGACGAGGAGACAGAUGAAAGGAGACAGAGAGAGAUAAGGAGAGAUAGGCGUUCAUGUGGUUUUGGUGCAUCACCACCAAAACCUGUCUUCGUUUGGCUUCACCACAGUGUGGUUGGUGGUUGAGUUUGAGCUGGGAGGGCGACCGGGGUAGGACUGAUAAGGACCCACAAACGCAAUGUAUCUCAGAGUGUUGAUCGAAAACAGGUUGGGCCUUUCAGAUCAUACAGCCUAGUUCCAUAUGUUGUGUGGUCUUAUCAAUAGGAACACUAAAGUCAGGUGACUGUCGCCAAAUCCCAAAGAUCGGAGUCUGGAUUGAGUAUCUGGACUACAUUAAAUCUGCAAACACUCAUUUUGUGGACUCUUUUUUGCACACAGACACACACACGCAGAACAAUACAGUUACAGGAUUAUAUUCCACUCUUUUCACUUGAAUAUGACCAAAAAAACACACUCAGGUCUGAAGAUGUCAGGAUUGUGUUUUUCUGAGAAGCAUCCAGCUGCAGAUUAAACACACUGAGGCCUCCUGGCCUGCAAAUCUCAAAAGCCCUUUCCUGGUGCUUAGGAUAAAGUCACCCCCUGUUGGCCAUGGUUGGUAAUGCACAUUCAUGUGCAAUGAAUUACCUCAAAGGGACAAGUGUGGGAUGAAUUCCUUUUCAAUUCUCGCCACCUCAGAUAGGUAUUCUAGUUACAGUUCCACAUUCUCCCCAUUUCAAAUUACUGGAUAGAACUGAGAUUAAAAUCAGAAUUUUAAUACACUGGAAGUGAAAAUAAAUGGACACUAAUUUAACUACAUUGAAUUUGCAUCUAUGUUUCCAUCUUAGCAAAAGUGAUAAUAAUAAUGUGAAAAUAGGAUCCGACUAUAAAUACUGUUGUGGUCGAGGGUCAAGUGGACAUUGACUAUUUUUAAAUAGGUGUGAUGGAUGUAAUCUGAAUUUGUUCUUCCAUUCCAUUGUUGCCGAAGGGAGAUUACAUCAUCUGAAUUUACACUUCACCCAGGGGCAGAUCCAUGGGCUGUACAUAUUAAUCCAGUCACAACGAAAAUGUAAAGGGCGAAUGAAAAGAAACGUUUCUUAUUGGACGAGGUCAAGGUAUCACUCCCUGUUUUCAUUCGCCCGCCCGCCUUCUGUUUGGCGCCUUGUGAAAACGACCCAGGAUUAAGCCUUUUCUGCUUGGACUUGUUACUUUGCUCCGAUGACAUCACCCCCAGGGCUUUUAAGCCAGGCUUGCCUAUUGAUUUAGCAGUCUGUAGUGUACUUAUCCUCCUGUCACUCCACCAUCCUAAACCUGGGCACAAACAGAAGAAGAAAUCUUUCAGUGUUGGGUGACUGCCUGGAAAUACCAGAAUGGGCAAGGUUUGCAUGUUCAAAAUCAUUCCAUUGGUUCUACUGCACCUAGAAUGCUUAUUCAACCCCCC
ensembl:lncRNA